rnacentral:lncRNA from 1 species
UGUCCUAAAUGCACACCUGUCAGAAGUGAGCGUAAAUCUGACCAGAGUCAUUAGAGGUAUGAAAGAUGGUGAACACGGAAUCACUUCAGUUGGGGGAGUUGCAAUGAAUGAGGUGCAGCCCUAUGAUGGAAGAAGCACAGACACUGAGAAUGACAUGAUGCUGAAGGACUUCUGGAGUCAUGCCUAGUUACAGACUCUCCAGCAACCAUAUUGUAAUGGCAUUCAUAAAUGCAUCAAGAUGGGUUUUCUCAAAUCAAAAACAAGUCUCACCACUCCUGGUUACAGGAAUCAGGAUUGAAAAUCUAUUAGAGCUCAUGAGCAACCAUCCUUGGGAGCCCCUCGUCUGCUGCCUGAUGGUUACACUGCUGCAAGAUUCAAGAACAUACUGUCUCACUUGUUCUGAUUCUGGCCUGGGUUGGUUUGUGCAAAUAUUAACGUUGGCUUUUCCCAUUCUCAGCCUGCCUCCUCAUAUGUUACGUGGAUCUCUGUGA